CCCUUUAAAGAAAGCGUAAUAGCUCACUGGUCGAGUCGGUCUGCGCGGAAGAUGUAACGGGGCUAAACUAUGCACCGAAGCUGCGGAUUCAAAAUUUAUUUUGAGUGGUAGGGGAGCGUUCUGUAAGCCGUUGAAGGUGUACCGGGAGGUAUGCUGGAGGUAUCAGAAGUGCGAAUGCUGACAUGAGUAACGAUAAUGCGGGUGAAAAACCCGCACGCCGGAAGACCAAGGGUUCCUAUCCCAUGUUAAUCAGGGUAGGGUAAGUCGACCCCUAAGGCGAGGCCGAAAGGCGUAGUCGAUGGGAAACGGGUUAAUAUUCCCGUACUUGGUAUAAUUGCGAUGGGGGGACGGAGCAGGCUAAGCAAGCAUGGCGUUGGUUGUCCAUGUGAAAGUGAGUAGGUUGAGAGUUUAGGAAAAUCCGGACUCUUAAGACUGAGACACGAGACGAGCACCUAAGGGUGUGAAGUUGUUGAUGCCAUACUUCCAGGAAAAGCCUCUAAGCUUCAGAUUAUACCGAAUCGUACCCCAAACCGACACAGGUGGUCAGGUAGAGAAUACUAAGGCGCUUGAGAGAACUCGGGUGAAGGAACUAGGCAAAAUCGUACCGUAACUUCGGGAGAAGGUACGCUCCGAUUGGUGAUGAGACUUGCUCUUUAAGCUGAUUGGAGCCGCAGUGACCAGGUGGCUGGGACUGUUUAUUAAAAACACAGCACUGUGCAAAAUCGCAAGAUGACGUAUACGGUGUGACACCUGCCCGGUGCCGGAAGGUUAAUUGAUGGGGUUAGUUUUCGGACGAAGCUCUUGAUCGAAGCCCCGGUAAACGGCGGCCGUAACUAUAACGGUCCUAAGGUAGCGAAAUUCCUUGUCGGGUAAGUUCCGACCUGCACGAAUGGUGUAACCAUGGCCACGCUGUCUCCACCCGAGACUCAGUGAAAUUGAAAUCGCAGUGAAGAUGCUGUGUACCCGCGGCUAGACGGAAAGACCCCGUGAACCUUUACUACAGCUUGGCACUGAACAUUGAACCUACAUGUGUAGGAUAGGUGGGAGGCUUUGAAGCAGAAACGCUAGUUUUUGUGGAGCCGUCCUUGAAAUACCACCCUUGUAGUUUUGAUGUUCUAACGUUGGUCCCUGAUCGGGAUUACGGACAGUGCCUGGUGGGUAGUUUGACUGGGGCGGUCUCCUCCCAAAGAGUAA
rnacentral:rRNA from 1 species